rnacentral:piRNA from 1 species
UCCCAGGAAGCUGAGUGAACUCACUCACUC